rnacentral:rRNA from 1 species
CCCAAGACUGAUUGCCCACUGAAGCUAAGCAGGGUUGAGCUUGGUCAGUACCUGGAUGGGAGACCUCUUGGGAAAACUAGGUUGCUGUUGGAA